CAGGCCGACGCUGGGCCUUCUCACCCUGCAAGGCGGCUCUGCCCAGCCCGUCAGUUUUUGGUGACUAGUGGAUUCCAAAGCUGACUUCUUGGCCUGCGAGACAACCGGACGCACAGGCGACACACCCACUGAAUCCUUCAUGUUCACGCUCCUCUCGUCCUUACGCCGUGGCUCUUAGGAAAUACUGUAGCAAGCCACCAUAAAAGCCUCCGGCUGAGAUGUUUAAAGG